ensembl:lncRNA
AUGGCGGAGCACACUGUAGAACAAGGAAAAGAAGAAGAGAAAGAGAAGCACAUAUCGAUUCAGAGAGGGAAUUUUGCCAUUGAAAGGAAACAUGCUGCCGUUGAUGUGCAGGAGCCACCUAAAGCACAAGAAGACACCGAAAUCGGCGACAUGGAACCACAGAUGGUCAAAGACCUCAGGACCGCAGUUGGAUGGCUGCGGAACAACUGCCACUCCUUCAGAGGUUUUGUGCAAGAGCCGUCAUAUCUGGACCUAGAGAAGGAAGACCAGGAAGAGGCCCUUCUUAAACUUGAUCGGGCGGGAAGAAAAGAUGAUCUGGAACUGGCCAAAGAGCCUUUCAUGUUUCGGUUCCAGUUUCAACAGGACAUGGAAGUUUUUCUUUUCAAAUGUCACGACGAAAGGGACCUCAGAAUAAACUCAAUGUGUAUGGAGUUUUAAUUUAUUUAUUUUUCUCUUGAGAAUUAUUGCUGUCAAAUUUGUGCCUGUAUAACUUUUAUAAGAUUUAUUUUCUUUGGUUUGAUUUUGUUUUAUAUAAUUUAUUUAUUUAGUUUGAUUUUGUAAUUUUAUUUAAUUAGAAAACAGCAAGUGUGUGAUUUAUUUAAAACUCAUUUUAUUUAAAUUAAUAUUUUUGUUUUUGUUUUCAGUCCAUCAUAUUAUUGUGUAUGGUGGUCUAUGUUGGUUGAGUAUUUAAAGUUAUUUUCAAUUGAAUAAAAUGUUCAAACUCUCAAGCUUUGUUUUCAUUGGAUUAUUUAUUUUUAAUUUUAUGCUUUGUCUAAUAUAUAAUAUUGUUAAUCAAUCUUAAAUAUACAUUUUCAAUUAAAUCGUUUAAAACAAAGUCUUUAUAAUAACGUUGUUUUAAACUUUAAAACGUUCCAAAACACGGAAGUAGCGUAAUUCCUUGCCGCGCCCACUUCCGCUCUCAGACUGUCGGGCUGGCGCUGUCGUCCUCAGACUGUUAUGACGUAAUGGUUCUGCGGUUCUGCAGUCAGACCUAUCUCAAUGUUUCGGCAAUAUGCCGGGUCUGACGUGCAGUGUGAAAGGGGCUUUAGAGAGUCAGGAUUCAUUAAUAUGGAACAGAUGGUUUAAUACCAUCCGCUCAUUAGUGUUACAUAUAUAUAUAUAUAUAUAUAUAUAUAUAUAUAUAUAUAUAUAUAUAUAUAUAUAUAUAUAUAUAUAUAUAUAUAUAUAUAUAUAUAUAUACAGUAUUGUUCAAAAUAAUAGCAGUACAAUGUGACUAACCAGAUUAAUCAAGGUUUUUAGUAUAUUUUUUAUUGCUACGUGGCAAACAAGUUACCAGUAGGUUCAGUAGAUUGUCAGAAAACAAACAAGACCCAGCAUUCAUGAUAUGCACGCUCUUAAGGCUGUGCAAUUGGGCAAUUAGUUGAAAGGGGUGUGUUCAAAAAAAUAGCAGUGUCUACCUUUGACUGUACAAACUCAAAACUAUUUUGUACAAACAUUUUUUUUUUCUGGGAUUUAGCAAUCCUGUGAAUCACUAAACUAAUAUUUAGCUGUAUGACCACAGUUUUUUAAAACUGCUUGACAUCUGUGUGGCAUGGAGUCAACCAACUUGUGGCACCUCUCAGCUGUUAUUCCACUCCAUGAUUCUUUAACAACAUUCCACAAUUCAUUCACAUUUCUUGGUUUUGCUUCAGAAACAGCAUUUUUGAUAUCACCCCACAAGUUCUCAAUUGGAUUAAGGUCUGGAGAUUGGGCUGGCCACUCCAUAACAUUAAUUUUGUUGGUUUGGAACCAAGACUUUGCCCGUUUACUAGUGUGUUUUGGGUCAUUGUCUUGUUGAAACAACCAUUUCAAGGGCAUGUCCUCUUCAGCAUAGGGCAACAUGACCUCUUCAAGUAUUUUAACAUAUGCAAACUGAUCCAUGAUCCCUGGUAUGCGAUAAAUAGGCCCAACACCAUAGUAGGAGAAACAUGCCCAUAUCAUGAUGCUUGCACCUCCAUGCUUCACUGUCUUCACUGUGUACUGUGGCUUGAAUUCAGAGUUUGGGGGUCGUCUCACAAACUGCCUGUGGCCCUUGGACCCAAAAAGAACAAUUUUACUCUCAUCAGUCCACAAAAUGUUCCUCCAUUUCUCUUUAGGCCAGUUGAUGUGUUCUUUGGCAAAUUGUAACCUCUUCUGCACAUGCCUUUUUUUUAACAGAGGGACUUUGCGGGGGAUUCUUGAAAAUAGAUUAGCUUCACACAGACGUCUUCUAACUGUCACAGUACUUACAGGUAACUCCAGACUGUCUUUGAUCAUCCUGGAGGUGAUCAUUGGCUGAGCCUUUGCCAUUCUGGUUAUUCUUCUAUCCAUUUUGAUGGUUGUCUUCCGUUUUCUUCCACGUCUCUCUGGUUUUGCUCUCCAUUUUAAGGCAUUGGAGAUCAUUUUAGCUGAACAGCCUAUCAUUUUUUGCACCUCUUUAUAGGUUUUCCCCUCUCUAAUCUACUUUUUAAUCAAAGUACGCUGUUCUUCUGAACAAUGUCUUGAACGACCCAUUUUCCUCAGCUUUCAAAUGCAUGUUCAACAAGUGUUGGCUUCAUCCUUAAAUAGGGGCCACCUGAUUCACACCUGUUUCUUCACAAAAUUGAUGACCUCAGUGAUUGAAUGCCACACUGCUAUUUUUUUGAACACACCCCUUUCAACUAAUUCAACUAAUUGCCCAAUUGCACAGCCUUAAGAGCGUGCAUAUCAUGAAUGCUGGGUCUCAUUUGUUUUCUGAGAAUCUACUGAACCUACUGGUAACUUGUUUGCCACGUAGCAAUAAAAAAAUAUACGAAAAACCUUGAUUAUUUUGGUUAGUCACAUUGUACUGCUAUUAUUUUGAACAAGACUGUAUAUAUAUAUAUAUAUAUAUAUAUAUAUAUAUAUAUAUAUAUGUAUAUAUAUAUAUAUAUAUAUAUAUGUAUAUAUAUAUAUGUGUGUGUGUGUGUGUGUGUGUGCAUAUAUGCAC